rnacentral:rRNA from 1 species
GGUGCCNAGUACCCCGUGGAGGGGAAGACUCUCGGGAAAUGAGGCUAAUCCCCGAGAACGCUUUGCUCCUGGAAGGGGNAAAGCGGGAAAUGCUCCGGGGCCACAGGAGGCGGGAGCGGGGGAUUAAGGAGANGGUGGGGGAACGACUUAANGUGUUCAAUAAUAGGGGGGGGCCCCCCCCCCCAGAGCCCGGGGACGGAAUCUCAGACAAUAGGCACGGAGCUUGUUUAGGUGCGUAUUAUUAGGCGAGACCUUACGCAGUACGACAGUGCGAUACGGGGACUCCGAGUGUGAAGGCAUAGAGCCUUCACUUUUGUACACCGUAAGGUGGUGCACGAAUAAGGACUGGGCAAGACCGGUGCCAGCCGCCGCGGUAAUACCGGCAGUCCGAGUGAUGGCCGAUCUUAUUGGGCCUAAAGCGUCCGUAGCUGGCUGAACAAGUCCGUUGGGAAAUCUGGCCGCUUAACGGGCAGGCGUCCAGCGAAAACUGUUCAGCUUGGGACCUAAAAAAAUCGAGGGUAUUUUUUG